AUGACCACCGUACCAAAUACUACAGAAACAACUACCAGCCCUAUUACCACUACUACCAAUCCUACUACCACCCCUGUUAUCACUACAACCACCCCUACUACCACCCCUGUUAUCACUACUACCACCCCUAUUACCACUACUACCACCCCUACUGCCACCCCUGUUAUUACUACUACCACCCCUAUUACCACUACUACCAGUCCUACUACCACGCCUGUUAUCACUACUACCACCCCUAUUACCACUACUACCAAUCCUACUACCACCUCUGUUAUCACUACUACCACCCCUACUGCCACCCCUAUUACCACUACUACCAAUCCUAUUACCACUACUACCAGUCCUACUACCACCCCUGUCAUCACUACUACCACCCCCACUACCACUAAUACCAUUCCUACUACCACUCCUGUUAUCACUACUACCACCCCUAUUACCACUACUACCAUUCCUGCUACUACCUCUGUUAUCACUACUACCAACCCUAUUACCACUACUACCAUCACUACUACCACACCUACUGACAAUACUACCACCCCUACUACCACCCUUGUUAUCACUACUACCACCCCUAUUAUCACUACUACCAUUCCUACUACCACCCCUGUUAUCACUACUACCAUCUCUACUACCACCACCCCUACUACCACUACAACAACCCCUACUAGCAACCCUACUACCACGACUACCAGUCCUACUACCACCCCUGUUAUCACCAGUACCAUCACAACUAGCAACCCUACUACCAGUCCUUCUACCACCCCUGUUAUCACUAGUACCAUCACAACUAGCACCCCUACUACCACUACUACCAGUCCUACUACCACCCCUGUAAUCACUGCUACCAUCACUACUACCACCCCUACUACCACCCCUGUUAUCACUGCUACCAUCACUACUACCACCCCUACUACCACCCCUGUUAUCACUACUAGCACCCCUACUACCACUACUACCAGUCCUACUACCACCCCUCUUAUCACUACUACCAUCACUACUACCACCCCUACUACCACCCCUGUUAUCACUACUAGCACCCCUACUACCACUACUACCAGUCCUACUACCACCCCUAUUACCACUACUACCACCACAUUAAGUGCUAUGACCACCGGAUCAACCAUAACUACCACUUCAACCACUUCAUCAACAUCAACUACCGUCCCUAACCCGCUUUUGACCACUUCUCAACCUACAGGUAUUUUUUUCUGA
rnacentral:lncRNA from 12 species